rnacentral:rRNA from 1 species
CAGCAGCCGCGGUAAUACCGGCGGCCCGAGUGGCGGCCACUAUUAUUGGGCUUAAAGCGUCCGUAGCCGGGUUGGUUAGUCUCCCGGGAAAUCUGGUCGCUUAACGAUCAGACUUCCGGAGGAUACUGCUGGCCUAGGGACCGGGAGAGGCCGAGGGUAUUCCCAGGGUAGGGGUGAAAUCCUGUAAUCCCGGGAGGACCACCUGUGGCGAAGGCGCUCGGCUGGAACGGGUCCGACGGUGAGGGACGAAGGCCAGGGGAGCGAACCGGAUUAGAUACCCGGGUAGUCCUGGCUGUAAACGAGGCGGACUAGGUGUCGGGCAAGCUAAGGGCUUGUCCGGUGCCGCAGGGAAGCCGUUAAGUCCGCCGCCUGGGGAGUACGGCCGCAAGGCUGAAACUUAAAGGAAUUGGCGG